rnacentral:lncRNA from 1 species
GCCGAGCAAAGAUGGAGAGGAGGUCCCAGCCCCCGGGGCGCGGUGUUGCGCACGCGGGGGAGCUGGGCCGGGGAUAUGCGCACGUGUGCGCACGCGGCGGACAGGGACUAGGGGUGCACGUGCGUAUAUAAGCACCUGGGGAGGGGGACAGAAGCUGAGGAGGUGUGCACCUGUGCAUGUACACGGGUGUGUGCGCAUCCGGGGAAUGGGGGGUAGGAGUGUGUAUACACGUGUGGGCACAUGAGGAACAGGGGCAAAGUGUGCAGGUUUCCACCUGGCCGCGGACGGUUUCCCAAUUUAACCGCUUUUAUGCUGAUCACGCCCACUCUGCUUCUCCAGUAAAGCCCCUCCCGGCCUAAGACUGUUCACACCUUAGCGCUGGUUUCUUGAAGGGAGCAGAGAUCUUCGCGUUCUUUCUCUUCAGUACGCGGCACUCAGAGAAACCGGGAUCCAGGAGGAAGAGGCACAUGGAAGUUCCUGGGCAAGGCGUCGAAUCUGAGCUGCAGCUGCUGGCCUACACCACAGGCAACGCCGGAUCCUUAACCCAGUGAGCAAGGAGAGGAAUCGAACCCAUAUCCAGCCAUUUUCUGUUUUCCACCGCAGCGAUGAUGACAAGAGGAUGCAGAAAUUGCCAGGCAGGGGAUUGAACCCACACCACAGCCGCAACCCGAGCCACUGCGGUGACAACACAAAUCCUUAAGCUGCUGAGCCACAGGACUCCAGGAUCAGUCAAUCUUAAGGACUCACAUGACUACUUACAGGCUGAAGCCACAGUCCUUUGAGAAGCUCCCCUUGGACCCGACAGCUUCUAGAAGAUCACGGCACCCAGUCUCCCCAGAUGUCUCCUUCCGGCCUCGUUUGCUACUUGAGCGCCCGUCUCUGCUCUUCCUCCGAAACGCCCACCUUGGCCAGGAGAGUAAUUCCUUUCAUCCCCUGACCACCAACCCUGCCGUCCAGCGCGGUGUCCUUCUGGGUGAUUUCAUGUUGCUGAGAUGACAUCGGGCUGUUUUUUAUGGAACCCCACAACGGAAGGUCCGAGGUCCUUCUCCUCGUGUCAUUUCCCUCCUCAGUAGAACCCAUGACCAUCGGCCAGGAGGGAAAGUGCCAGGAGCCAACAGCACGAUUUUGGGAAACUUGAUUUUAUGUUCAACCGAAUGCCUCUGCUCACGUCCCUACUGCUGUCCCCUUACCUCGCCGAGUCAGAGAAGGGCCCUGCAGCUUACCCGCUGCAAUGAGGCUGGGGUGACCUCGGGAGGUCAAUGAGCUCGGAUGAGUGAUCUCAGCUCCUCUCUGGCUCAGAUUUCUUUAGCUGAGAAAUAAGAAAAUAAAAAAUAAAGUUCUUUAUAAG